GCCACGUGGCGCGCCGCAGGCGACAGCGCCAGAGUCAACAACGAGCGGCGGGACGGGCGAAGCGGCGUUGCCACGUCUUCUCCGGCUCGCACGCCGAGUUACGUGUUUCUGCCCAUAGACGUGACGUGGCAACGCCGCGGGAGUGAAGAUAGAAGAUGUCGAAGGGGAGGGGAAGGGGAGAGACGCUAUCCAGUGUUUAGACACUAGCGCCCGGGGCGGCGUUUCCCAGAAUUCCUUAGCGCCCGGCUUUCACACGCUGCUGUUUACCGAGCGGCGCGGCGGGAACACAUCCGGACGCAUCCACGCGGGAACCGAUGUUACAAGAGCCGGGCGACGGAUGCACAGCGACCCAGCGAAGCUUGCAUGAAGGCCUUUUGUCACACCGUCAAAUAUCUGACCACAGAGUUGGAGGGGAAGUAUUGAACGGAAAAUUUUCUCCGUUAAAUAUAUUUGGACAGAUAACCUCAAAUAUGUUUUAAAUCAUGUCACACUGUCAAAGUUUAUAUUUUCUCUGGGCUAUCUUAAAACUUUCAAUUUUCUUCUUCUUUAAUUUGAAAUUAAAUAAUGCAUCACAGCAUUGGACGGAUUUUUUUUUCAAAAAAACUUGUUAUUAUGUUUGUAUAUUUUUAAGUUUUUGAACAUAAAUAAAUUUUUAAAGUUA